UUAUAAGGAACCGCGCUGUCGAGACCUCAGCCAGGUACUGGCAAAGCCAACAGGUGAGCUGUGCUAGCAGUUUGGUUGACAGUGCCGUACCACGCCGUGAAGAAGCCCGAAGUAUAGUAAUAACAUUUAUCAUUCGACUCCGGGGCCCCUAUUGUCAUCGUUACGCUCCUGGUAUACCUGCCCGCCACUGCUUCUGACAAUCGGCUUGGCGUCCAAUCAACGCUUGGAAAAAUGUACUUUGUAUAAAAGAAUUUACGGUAUGGCUAAAGUGGCGCCCAUGUUCAUUUAGUUUUUCUGUUCAAUUUGUACCGCGUGUGUCUUUUAUCGCGAAACCACAUCGAUGACGUGUCGACUUAAACCACCUGGAAAAAUGUCGAUUGGCAUGCGUGCAUUUAAGGCUUACCGUCUCUAGGUACUUUAGUAUGGACGGUAAACAUUGUGCGUUUGAUAGGAAGUUAUAGUCCGUACUUGAUAACUGCACGAUUUACCUGUGUAUAGUACCAAAAUGAAAAUUCAUCCAUGUUAUAUAAAAAUUGAAAUUAAAAAAAAAUAAAUUCGCUAAUGACAGUACUCACUGCUUUGUGGGUGUAUUUUUUUUUAUUUUAUAUUUGUCUACUUCGCUAUAUACGUUUCUUAUACUGCGUGAUCUUUCUCAUGAUCUUUAAUAACGCUGAUAUCACCCACAGUGAGUGGGUCGUGUGCUAAGUGGCUGAAAUUCGAGGAGAGCAGCGUUACUUCAUUAAUUUACAUACGCACCUUCCUUAUUGAUUGCCAUAUAAACAAGAAGAUCGUAUAACGACCAUUUUACUUAAUUAAAGAAAAAAUCGAAAAAUUAUACUCGCAGGUAGCAAUUCAUCAACUUUAAUAUCAGACAGCUAUAAUCACGAAGGCAAAACAAUUGCUGACCUUUUAAAAAUAACGAUUAGACUCUUAGAAAUGAUUGUUAUCAAAUUGAAAUUAAAAAAACGUAAAAUAAUUGACGUACGUAUGACGUGCCUGUUAUCUAUAACGUAACGGUAGAACUGAUGCUCUCAGAAUGACUAAAUUCAUUUAUGAGAUAGAUUAUUGAAUUUUCGCAUCGAUCUACCGGUAGGAGACACGAUCUUUAGAUAAUGCCCAACCAAUGACUCACGGCUCGUUCUGGGCAUUACGAAACAGAAAAAAAAACAAUCUUCUACUGUCGCAAAAUUUUGGUUGAUUUCUUUUGCCAAAUGAAUUUUUCUGCCAAAUUGCCAAAAAAAUUCUUUAUGCGGUCAUUGGACAGUCAUAAGACAAAUUUAGGUUACCAACCGUAACACAGGGAGACGUAUACACUUCCUUUUGCGAAUCAUGACUUUCUUUCCAGCUGAAGUAAAAGUUUCUAUUUCAGUUCAUUUCCUACGUCUCUACCAGCUAUACACACUGCGUAUAUAUAUAUAUAUAUAUAUAUAUAUAUAUAGAUAUCCAUUGUACUUUCAUACAUGCAAACGGAGCCACAGUGACGUUUACUAUAUACAUACAAUUGCACUAACUAUACCUUUACUAGUAGCUAUACGUGACUCAUUCAGACGUUCUUUUAAUCAUCGAUCUAUCGCCGUUAUCUUUUUUUUUGUCACAAUUACUUUUUAUGUCAAACGCUCAUAAAAGAGAGUUGUCUGUUCUCUUUGUUCUUACUAACUUAGUUUUGAUGCACGUGGUACAGUCGUAAGCCUGCAGAACGGCCCACUGUUCAUAAUAACAAAGUUGAUAAAUGAUACCCACUUAAAACUUGUGAAUGAUAACAAAAUUUACGUAAAUUAGGUUAUCGUCCAAUUCGAUCAUUUAUCUCGUGAUGAUUUUGUAAUUAUACUAUCAAACUUUCAUAACUGUACGUGAUUACUGAUCCUUGUCUUUUCAUCAGAUGUCGUAUAUGGACUAUUGUACAGUGAGACUUCAGUUGACCCUAACCUUGUUCAAUGCUGGUUUUUUAUUGCAAACAGUCGGUAAAGUCGUAAUUUUCUGAUUCUACAAUAUUGACACUAUCAGUGGUACUACUAGCAAUGAUGCUACUAGCAGUAGUGAUAUUAGCAAUGUUACUACUACCAGUGGUACUACUAGUAAUGAUACUACUAGCAGUGGUACCAACAACACGGGUACCCGCAUUAACGUUGUUUCGUUUAGUACAUUAAUUUCUAAAAAUAUAUCCCGACCGUUAACUGUGGCUUUACUGUAUAUCAAUCUGGACGCCUGGCGAUAGGCAAUCCUUUAUGUACAUAGUGAAUUACUGAAGUGAAAUUUUGAUAAUGUCAAUGGCGUGCAAGAUAUAAUGAUAACUGAUUAUACGAUUCAGAUAAUAGUUUUUAAUGUAGAAAAAGAAAAGCGAUUGUAUGACUGGUGACUAUUUUGUAAUCAGUUAAGGUAAUGAUAUCGAUAUAAAUAUACCUAGUGAUGCAAAGUCAUUUUAAAAAUAAGGUCUUCAUGGUAAGUGUUGACUGAUAAUAAUUACUCGGUAUCGUAUGUUAUGCAGGUUAGAUGGCGCUGGGCGUAUCGUCUCACAGUACGUGCAUUUAGUUUGUCCGCGAUUAAUCGAUUCCAUAAUUAAUUCGGCGGUGUGUGAAUAUGGAGGAAAAAGUACGAUGAUUGUUCAGUUGUCAUUGUCCUGUAGAAAUUAUUUUUAUACGUUUAUUCAGAUCUGACUGCCUUGCGGAAUCAACCCAGUAGGAGUUCCCGGAGGCGCGUUGUGGGAUUUAUCACGGAAGGGCGUGGACGUAAACCGGGUAGCGGAAUUACGAGGGAAACUUUAAAUUGCUCUGAUGAACUUUCAACGGGUAAUAGAAAGCUUGGUAAACUGCAAUUCGUUACGGGAGAGCAGUUCGGCACACCAGUGAGAAUCUUACUUUUUGACCUUUUAAGUAUAAUGAAAAAAGUACCCACAGUGUAGUAUAUAACAAUUGUGUUGUGUUUGUGAAGUUGGACUCCACGUGG